rnacentral:tRNA from 1 species
GCCUGGAUGGCUCAGUGGUUGAGUGUCUGCCUUUGGCUCAGGGCAUGAUCCCGGGGUCCUGGGAUUGAGUCCCAGAUCGGGCU